rnacentral:misc_RNA from 1 species
AAUUUGACCCUCAACGACGUUGGUGUGUGUCGUGUUUUCCGAAUUUAUAUUUCAUUUAUAGUACAUAGUAUUCUUACUUGAAUAAGAUUCUAUUUUAAUACAUAAGAAAAUAUUUUGUGAUCAUCCCUCAAGGAGAUUCAUCAUCCAUGAUUGCAUUUAGUCUGUUAAGGACAAAGAGUUAAAGUAGUGUUACGUCCUGCGUGUGAAACGCGUGCUUUUGCCGAGGGAUGUAUAUUUAGAGACGUACUUGAAGCCCCUUCAUGCCUUACCUCCUGGCAGCUAAUCCCAGCUCUCCAACGAGCUGGGUAAAAAUGGAAACAGAAAGUGUUUUUUCUGGGAAUUCCGAGAAUUCAUCUCGUGGCUUCAAGGCACAUAAUAAUAGUGCCCGUAUCGGUCGAACUCUUCCCUCUCUUCCAAAAGGAAGCUCCUAUGGUAACUAUGCCAUACCUCCAGGUCAUGGACAUCGCAUCCCUCCGAAUGAAAUCUCUUCGCAUAAUAAUCUACUGAAUAAUCAUCAAAUCAAUCAAACCCUUCCUGAUUUGACCUCUGUACAAACCAGCAACUCCAGCAGUAAUACCCCACCUCUAAUGUCGCCCAUCAUGAGUAACUACUCCCUUAGUAAAAACAUAAAUCAUCUUAACCUUAACCUCAUGCCUCGGACCAAUAGUGGACUCUCAAGCCAUGUCUUCAAUAACAAAUUGGAGUCUCCCUUUUAUCAUACGACUGUCACCAUGCCGGAUCAUGGCUAUCACUAUCAAAAAGAUCCAGCGUCUGAGAGAAUUGAAGUUCAAAUUCUACCGCAGGACAAUGAUUGGGGUGACAACACAACCACAGUAACUGGUCUGAGCGAUCUAGCCUUCCCUUCUGAAGGAGGAGGACUCCUUGGCGGCCUCUCAAAGUGGAGUCCUGAUGAAAACCUUUUACACGAAUCCGGAUGGCGAUUUUUGUGCCAACGCUACGCAGGCUCGUGGUUCUCUUUAAUCCUUUCCAUUAUUGCCUUUUUGAGUCCUAUCCUCAUGGUCAUACUCCCGAAAACUGGAGCACUGGGAUUCCGAGAGAGUCAACUUCGAUGCGAAGUGGAGUGUGACGGCACUCUAAUUAGUUUUUCAUUCAAACUCCUCGUUCUUCUCCUUGGAAGUUGGGCUCUUUUCCUCCGUUCACCACGAGCUACCAUGCCAAGGAUCUAUUUAUAUCGAGCUUGCGUCUCUUUCCUUGUUUUCAUUUUUAUAUUCUCAUUUUGGCUAUUUUACGGCGUGCGGGUCCUAGAAAACCAAAGACGUAGGCGUAUUCAAUAUUAUGAUGUUGUUUUGUAUGCUAAUUCCAUGGUGGAUGCUCUUCUCUUUGUACAUUAUCUGGCAAUCAUAUUCAUGGAAAUCAAACAUCUCACGCCACAAUAUUAUAUCAAAAUAGUACGAUCCCCCGAUGGAGAAUCCCGCUGUUAUCCUGUAGGUCAGUUUAGUAUACAACGGUGUGCCGCUUGGGCCUUGGAGAAAUACUACACGGAUUUCCCAGUGUAUAACCCCUAUUUGGAGAGACUGCCCACUUCUUCUCACCACCAUCACCAUCAUAGCCACUACAAGGGCAGCAGCAAUGAAGGAGACUCCUCAUCAUCCCCUCAAUCCUUGGGUGGAGGAAGUGGAUACAUUCCAGGGAAGAAAGGAUACCGUUAUUUCGAUGGAGAUGUUCUGAGCACCAUACCAGAAAAAGACUUCAAUAACCGCUCAGGAAUGAUGAAGAAGGAGUCGCACAAUGAAAGAUUCUAUGAAGAGUUUGAAUAUGAAAGACGGCUAAAAAAACGAAGAGCCCGGCUCAUUACAGCCACCGAGGAUGCCUUUGCUCAUUUAAAAAGACUCGAAUACGACUCAAAAAAUCCAACAUCACCAUUAGAUUCCUACGAGGCUGCUCAAGCCAUAUUCCCUACCAUAUCACGCCCUCUACAAAAAUAUCUACGAAUUACACGGCAACAGCCUCGUCACACCAUGGAAUCCAUUCUUAAUCAUCUAUCCACCUGUCUCAAAUUUGACAUGUCACCCAAAGCCUUUUUAGAAAAAUACAUAAUCACCCGUCCCGUCCUUCAGAGUGACCGUGAGGAUAAGCCCGUUCAAACAUGGGCCCUCAUUUGCGACAUCCUUCUCUCUCGCUCCAUUGGUCCAGGGAUAAUUUUCCAACUCCGUCAAGGAGACAUUUCCCUCCUUUGCCAAGUUUCUCGUCUUCCUCACUUUAAUAUCACAGAAGAGGUCAUGGAGUCACCUGGAAGUACUUUUUUGGUUAAAGUAAACUCUGAAACUCCAGUCUAAACUUUUUAUAAACCCUAUAACGCCACACGAAUCAUGUUUGAGAGCUAAUUUUUUGAAUCCAGGAUUUGAGCAAUUGCAAAUAUAUUAUAAUUAAUGGGACAUUCAACAUUAAAGAAAAAUUGGAUCUUGUACGUAAAACCCUCCAGUACAUUACAAACGCAUUAUGUCAUUGAAAAAGUACUAAAACCACAUCGAGUGUGGAAGGCAAAAUUGUCCUAACUCAAAAACUACUAAUGUCAUCCUUAAGAAAUGAACCAGGAUUUUAACUUUAAGUUAUCAGAAAAUGAUGACUUCACAUUAAAUUCGUGGGCGUUCAGGGAUAAAACUCGACAACAACAGCAGCCGUGAUUCUUACCAAAGUUUUGUGUUUAAUUUUUUUGUUUUUGCCUCCCGGGUCUCUCCUAUAUUUAUAUAUACUAUGUACAUUGACUUAAGUACAUAAUAUCUAGUCCUUGAUAAUAAGUUAAUUAUAACGUUUUAUGUCUAUUCUUUUUUCUAAUGUUCAUUUGUAUUUUUAUUCAACUUUGGCUGUGACUUCUUAUAUACAUAUUAUGCAAUUUACAUGUUAACACAAUCCAUUAGUUACAUAUCACGUGUUGUUAGUUAUAAAUAAAUUAUCUCUGUUUUUUGCAUACC